GAUGAACGCUGGCGGCGUGCCUAAUACAUGCAAGUCGAGCGAACAGAUAAGGAGCUUGCUCCUUUGACGUUAGCGGCGGACGGGUGAGUUACACGUGGAUACCCUACCUAUAAGACUGGGAUCACUUCGGGACACCGGAGCUAAUACCGGAUAACAUAUUGCACCGCAUGGUUCAAUAGUGAAAGGCGGCUUUGCUGUCACUUAUAGAUGGAUCCGAGCCGUAUUAGCUAGUUGGUAAGGUAACGGGCUACCAAGGCAACGAUACGUAGCCGACCUGAUAGGGUGAUCGGCCACACUGGAACGUAGACACGGUCCAGACGCCUACGGGAGGCAGCAGUAGGGAAUGUGACGCAAUGGGCGAGAGCCUGACGGAGCGACGCGGCGUGAGUGAUGAAGGUCUUCGGAUCGUAAAGAUCUGUUAUCAGGGAAGAACAAAUGUGGAAUGAACUGUGCACAGCUUGACGGUACCGGAUCAGAAAGCCACGGCUAACUACGUG
rnacentral:rRNA from 1 species